rnacentral:rRNA from 1 species
UACGUAGGGCGCAAGCGUUGUCCGGAAUUAUUGGGCGUAAAGAGCUCGUAGGUGGCGUGUCGCGUCUGCCGUGAAAGCCCAUGGCUUAACUGUGGGUCUGCGGUGGAUACUGGAAGGCUUGAAUCCGGGAGAGGGAUGCGGAAUUCCAGGUGUAGCGGUGAAAUGCGUAGAUAUCUGGAGGAACACCGGUGGCGAAGGCGGCAUCCUGGACCGGCAUUGACGCUGAGGCGCGAAAGCCAGGGGAGCAAACGGG